ensembl:lncRNA
AGCCCACAGCCCACCAGGCCCACAGCCCACCAGGCCCACAGCCCACCAGGCCCAUAGCCCACCAGUGCCGUGACCCACCAGGCCCACCAGGCCCACUGCCCGGCAGGCCUACCAGGCCCACCAGGCCUGCAACCCACCAGGCCCACCAGGCCCACGGCCCACGCCCCGCCGCUCCAGGCUGUGUGUGUGUGGCAGGGGAAGGCGUCCUCGUCUGGAAAUGGGCACGCAUCACAUCAAAGAUGAAAACCUUGCCUACAGCACCCAGGUGAGCUGAGCCCGGCCUGCUGCAGCCGAGAGGCCCCAUGGCGGGCCCGUGCGGGCACCUGGGCAGCUCAGCUCUGCCCUGUUUUCCAGGAAUAAAACACACACAGCGCUGUCUGCACUGGAGGACGGCCUCCCUGAAACGCCCUCACAGUGCAUGGGGUGCCCCAGGGCCCGCGGCAUCCCGCACCGCACCGGGCAGCAGCCCCGGCCCCAUGCAAACCCCGCGUCCCCUCCGUGCGUCCCCUCGGGUGUCCCCCAGGUGUCCCCGCGGGUGUCCCCCAGGUGCCCCCCCGCCUCGGGUGCUGACCCCAACCCUUGCUGGGCCUGUCAAAACGCGCGGCGGGCCAUUGAAAACAAAACAACAAUAAAAAAACAACCAGCCAUUGUCGGCCGCCUGGGUUUGGUGCCAAGAAGCUGUCAGGGGAGCUUUGCUAUGCAUUUAACAAUGUUAAUAGUUAUUGGAGCUCUUUAUGCCAUUUUUUUUCCCAUGUUUUUUUGCUACGCUGAUUUUUUUUGCACAUUUGCCACUUCAGUGAAAAGGCAAAAAAAAAAAAAAAAACAAAAAACAAAAACCAAAAAACAACAACCCACAAAAAAGCCCCCAAAAAACCUUCAGAGCAAAAAAUGAAACGUUCCUUCCUUUGAUGAGAUGCAGAGGCUCGGCUAACAAACGCACGCCAGUCCAAGUGCAAACGUAUCAGCCCCGGCAGAGCAUCUCCAGCUCCCGCAGAUAAGCC